GAUGAACGCUGGCGGCGUGCUUAAUACAUGCAAGUCGAGCGAACGGACCAGGAGCUUGCUGCUCUGAUGUUAGCCGCGCACGUGUGAGUAACACGUGGAUAAUCUACCUAUAAGACUGGGAUAAUUUCGAGAAACCGGAUCUAACCCCGUAUAAUAUUUUGCACCACAUGGUUUAUUAGUAAAAUUCGGUCUUUCUGUCUCUUCUCGAUGGUUCCGCGCUGCAUUAGCUAGUUGUGAAGGUAACGGCGUAGCAAGGCAACUAUGCGUAGCCGAGGUGAGAGGGGGAUCGGCCACACGGGAAGUGAGACGCGGUACAGACUCCUACGAGAGGGAGCAGUAGGGUAGGUGAGGCACUGGGCGAAAGUAUGACGGAGCGAAGGGGAGUGAGUGACAAAAGUCUUGGGAUCGUAAAAAUCUGUUUUUAGGGAAGAACAUAUGUGGACGUAAAUGUGGACAUCGUGACGGUACCUAGUCAGAAAGCAACGGCUAACUACGUG
rnacentral:rRNA from 1 species